rnacentral:lncRNA from 1 species
AUGCGCAGAAAAAGAAUUGUCCUCAUAAAAUUCCAAUAAAAGGAAGCUAUUGUGCUCCAACUAUAUGUUUGGAUAAGUGUAAGAAGCAACAUGGAACUGUUGGUAGUUGUGCGGAAGAAAAAGGAUUUUGUAACUGCGCUUGUAAAUAAGGGUUCUCACUAAGUGUUAUGAAUCUAGUAAUGUCCAACCAAAGUUUUAUAUUAUUUCUUUUAACAAUAAGUCUAAAUGUUUGUUUUUGAUUUGUGGAUCUAUUUAUAAUAAAUAAUAAUAUGAAUGUUAAAUAAAUACAAAUGUGUAAAACAAGAGUGGACUAUUAAUAAAAUAUAUGAUCACAUUAUUGUUAGAAGUAACCAAUAUUACGUGUAAAAUCAAAAGCUUAAGAAGAGUUAAAAAGAUAGAGACGAAAUCACAACCAAUAUUUAAAUGUGAGAUAAUCAACUAACACGUAAUUUUGUACACAUUGUAAAAAAAAAAAGCAAGAGUUGAUUAUCAAACAAAAAAGUGUUAGAAAGAGCAACAGAUCAUUCAAGGGCAGACUAGGUUUGAAUUGGCUUGACAGAUGGGAUGCAGACAUGCCAUAGGAAAGUCUUACAAACUCAUCAGACAACGCAAAGAAAAGUGAUAGCAUUGUUUCUGAACAUGACAAAGCUUUGGUCAUGAAGAAAAAUUUCACAACCAGAGUUUUUGGUAGACCUCCUCCAAUGUCAUCAUCAGCUACGAGUUUUGAGACUUCAUCCACAUCUCAGUCUCUAUUUCAAUUCUCAUGAAGUUUCCUUUAGAGAAGAGGUUAUUACAAAAAGCCAAGUUACAUGAACCUAACACAAUCUAUCAAAGGUAAGAAGAGACGAUCAACCAGUAUUCUUCAUCUUCUUGUUUCAAAAUCACUGUUUGAAAAUAAACAGUCAAUGUCUUACAACGAAGAUGUGAAUGUAAAGUGUUGUGCAUGUUCGGAUCCAUCUUGCACCCAGUGGAGUGAUCUAUAUCCACAUGCUCAAGUAACAAGGAGAAAUAUGUAGGCAAAGAAGCUAAAGUAAACAUUGUUUCAUUAAAUCAUUAAAGCAUUUCAACACCUUGACGGUUCUAAAACACACACAAAAUGCUGAUUUAUUGAUAUAUAAGCAACUUCUAUGUAUGUUUUUUUACAUACGAGUUAGUAUGAAAACCGCUGCAAUGUUGUUGUUUGACCACUUUUAUUAUUUAAUAGUUAACUUCUGAUGAUUCUAAGAUAAUAUGUUAUUCCCAACUCUUGUCAAUAUGAAAGCAAGAGCAAAGUUUCAUCUUUAUACAUGAAAGACCAAUAAAAUGACCAAAAAACAUAGUUUAGACGAAAGCUUCCUAAUAAAAUUUAUUCUCACUAUCUAAAUCUAAAACUGAAUUCAAUUCAUCUAUCUGAUUAUUAUAUAGUUUUCAUUUUCGUUAUUUUAUUGAAUUGAGUAAAAAAAAUUCAAUUAUAAACUUAGUAAUUUUUUAGUAUAAUCUUAUAAAUUAUGUAACGUGUGGGACAUCCACCUAAUAAACUAUUAAUUUAAAUAGUAAUGUUUGAAAAGUAUUUUAUUGACAUUGUUUUAAAUAAAUUCAUAAUUCUAAAAAUAGCAAUAACUUUUUGAAAACAUCAGAUUUAUGUACACGCAUAGGACACAUACCUUUUUAUUUACUUAAAGGUAAAUGAACGAGUCUAAAUUUUCCACAUGUUAUAUGAGCAAAACAUGGAUUUUUCUAAAUUGGAUUAGUUUUUAUCGGAACACAUUAAUGUGCGUUUCUUAAAUUAGAUUUUUAAUAUGUAUAUAUACGUAUGAAUACUUCUUAUAUUUAAAUAAAAAAUAGAAUACUUCAUCUCUUUCCUAAAUUUUUAAGCCAAUAUCAAUCCAUUUCUAUAAUCCAAGAUGAAGAAAUCCCUUCAACUCUCGUUUACGUUCUUAAUUAUCUCCAUCAUUCUCUCACAAGGUUUGUAUUUACAUCUUAAUAUAUUGCAUAUAUUAAUUCCAUAAUAAAUUGAUUAUACUAAAAUUUGACUUUUAAAAUAUUGUAAACCUCAAUAUAAUAAAUUUUAUUAACUAUAUAAAACAUAGCAUUAAAUUAUCUCUUUGUGUAAAAUUCAUAAAUUUGCAGAAGGCUAGAAAAUAUAGAUAGUAUGGUCAGAAAUGUUUGCGUUAAAAUUGAAAGGAUCAACCAUGAAGUAUUUAACUGUUUUUUAUACUUUAUGCCAUUUAUAAUUUUUUUAAUGUAUGGAUUUAUAUAUGAUGAAGAACUAUUAUGAUAAAAUAAUAUUAAAUAAUUUCAUUUUUAUCAUUUAUUUAUGAACAUUUUGUCCUGCACAUACAAAUGAUUUAACCAACAUUUUUCAUAAUAUGGAUAAACUAUAGUUCUUACGUAAAUGUAUUUGAUACUUUUAAUUAAAUUUAUAUAUUUUUAUAGGUAAUAUGUUAUGCUUUUCUAAUACAUACAGUAGUUGUUCAUAAAAUAUCAAAAUUUUAUACGUAAUGUUUAUUAAUAUGCACACAAUUCUUAAAACCAUAUUUUUCACAAAAUAAAAAAUAAUGUGUGACCAAACGAUAUGCUCAUUUUUUUUAUUUACUGGCAAAAUAUAUUUCUUUUUUUUUUUGCUUAUAACGUUUAAAACGAAAUGUUAUUAAACAUUUUUUGCUGAUAAAUAAAUUUUUUAUUUCAUAAAAUCUAUAUAUAUAUUCUAACAAUUAAAAUUUAAUAUUUUAAUAUCUUACAGGAAUGAUGGCAGAUGCGCAGAAAAAGAAUUGCCCUCAUAAAAUUCCAAUAAAAGGAAGCUAUUGUAUUCCAACUAAAUGUUUGGAUAUGUGUAAGAAGCAACAUGGAACUCUUGGUAGUUGUUCGGAAGAAAAAGGAUUUUGUAACUGCGCUUGUAAGUAAGGGUUCUCACUAAGUGUUAUGAAUCUAGUAAUGUCCAACCAAAGUUUUAUAUUAUUUCUUUUAACAAUAAGUCUAAAUGUUUGUCUCUGAUUUGUGGAUCUAUUUAUAAUAAAUAAUAAUAUGAAUGUUAAAUAAAUACAAAUGUGUAAAACAAGAGUGGACUAUUAAUAAAAUAUAUGAUCACAUUAUUGUUAGAAGUAAC